rnacentral:rRNA from 1 species
UCGACGAGAAGGGAUUGCUUGCAAUCCUGAGUAGAGUGGCGCACGGGUGAGUAACACGUAGAUAAUCUACCUCCAAGCCCGGGAUAACUAUUCGAAAGGAUGGCUAAUACCGGAUGAAGUUAACAUACACAAGUAUAUUGAUGAAAGAUUGCCUCUUCUUGAAAGCAAUUGUUUGGAGAUGAGUUUGCGGACCAUUAGUUUGUUGGUGGGGUAAAGGCCUACCAAGACUACGAUGGUUAGCUGGUCUGAGAGGAUGAUCAGCCACACUGGAACUGGUACACGGUCCAGACUCCUACGGGAGGCAGCAGUGAGGAAUUUUGCGCAAUGGGGGCAACCCUGACGCAGCAACGCCGCGUGAGUGAAGAAGGCCUUUGGGUCGUAAAGCUCUGUCGACAGGGAAGAAAUUACAAUCAUCCAAUAGGUGUUUGUAUUGACGGUACCUGUAGAGGAAGCACCGGCUAACUCCGUGCCAGCAGCCGCGGUAAUACGGGGGGUGCAAGCGUUAUUCGGAAUUAUUGGGCGUAAAGGGCGCGUAGGCGGUCUUGUCGGUCAGAUGUGAAAGCCCAGGGCUCAACCUUGGACGUGCAUUUGAAACAGCAAGACUUGAGUACGGGAGAGGAAAGCGGAAUUCCUGGUGUAGAGGUGAAAUUCGUAGAUAUCAGGAGGAACACCGAUGGCGAAGGCAGCUUUCUGGACCGAUACUGACGCUGAGGCGCGAAGGCGUGGGUAGCGAACGGGAUUAGAUACCCCGGUAGUCCACGCAGUANACGAUGUACACUAGGUGUAGCGGGNAUUAAAAUCUGCUGCGCCGGAGCUAACGUGUUAAGUGUACCGC